AUGGAAAAUGGCAGUCUUGACAAGUACUUGUACAACGAAAACAAGCCAACUCUACAUUGGGCCGAGAGGUAUCAGAUCAUCAAAGGUGUUGCAUCAAGCUUGUUGUAUCUUCAUGAGGAAUGGGAGAAAAUCGUCAUACAUCGAGAUAUAAAAGCAAGCAAUGUGCUCCUGGACAGACAAAUGAAUGGACGACUUGGUGAUUUUGGUCUAGCAAGGUUAUAUGACCAUGGCACAGUUGCUAAAACAACACAUGUGGUGGGCACCAUGGGAUAUCUUGCACCAGAAAUUAUACGCACCGGAAAGGCAACGCCCUUAACAGAUGUGUUUGCAUUUGGCGUGUUUCUCCUAGAGGUCGCCUGUGGGUGUAGGCCAAUUGGUAGCAGCAAGAACAACACAGAGAUAGUGUUGGUGGAUUGGGUGCUUGAACACCACGGCAAUGUCUCAAUUCUCGACACAGUAGAUCCUCGACUCAUGGGGAAUUUCAACAUAGAGGAAGUCACUCUCGUGCUCAAACUAGGUUUAUUAUGCUCAUACCCAUCACCCAGUGCAAGGCCUAGCAUGCAAAAGGUCAUGCAAUACCUGGACCGUGGAGAGUCAAUUCCUGACAUGCCUCCAACAUAUGUGAGUUAUAGCAUGAUAGCAAUGAUGCAGAAUGAAGGGUUCGAUUCCUACAUAAUGUCGUGCACUCCGUCGAAUAGCACUGUAUCUGGCAAGUCUUCGGUGACGGUUCUACAAGAAGGAAGAUGA
rnacentral:rRNA from 1 species